rnacentral:lncRNA from 1 species
GAAGGUGGCCUCAAUCUACAAGGAAUCUUCUAGCAUCGGUGCACUCUUUGAUGGCUCUCUACACUCAAACAAAAGCAACCGAAGGCAAUCCAUUGCUACUCUAUUUAUAGCCGAAAGACGCAACUACCACCUAUCCAAGAGUUACUAUAUGCCCGUGAUCAAUGAGUCUGAUGACUCCUGACUCUGCCCACGUGCUAGCAUUUAUACCACAAAGGACAAAAGUGUACAGUACACCCGUGC